CGAUCCGAGAGGCGCUGCAACGGACAACCCUGUCCGCCACGCUCGGUGCGGUUUGUUGACGUAAGGGCGCCUCCUGAGA
rnacentral:ncRNA from 1 species